GUCGGUAGAGCAUCAGACUUUUAA
rnacentral:piRNA from 1 species